UCGAGCGCGAGGGGCCAGACUCUCAGGCACCUGUGCGGUUUGAGGAGCUUGCUUCUGUGGCGCGUGAAGUCGGGGUGGGCAGAGGACUCUUCAUCCCGCCGCCGGCCCUCCGUCUCCAAGUUCGUGCCCCUUCUCCGUCAUCCUAGACGACGUGGACGUGACAGGGGAGGUGACAGCUGCUUGGCUGCCACCCUGCGCUCCUAGGUUAGAGGAGGGACAUGCGUCUAAUUCAGUCACACCAACAGAGCAUCCUAGACCACCCAGCCACUCCACUUCGUUUCCUAAGAAUGGCAGCCCUCCCAGAGUCCAGCGCACCUCGUCUUGCCAGCUCACUGGUCAGCCGUUUUAAGGGCAGAGAAAGGAGACAGAAUAGACUGAAUGGUGGCUCCUGCUGCCACUGCCACCGAAACCCUAAGCCUGGGAACAUGGAUUCGGAACACCUUCGGAACACCUCCGCCACCGUCCCGGAGGUAAGCACCACAGGAGUGACACUCACGCAUUCUUUCUCCCACUUCAUGGUUGUUUCUGUCACCAUGCCUUGUAGCCUGGCUUCCAGUCUGCGCUUGUCAGAAAACUGCCGCUGAAGUUUCUGGUUCUGAGUCUCGAGUUCCUGUUGCAAAGUACGCUUGUCUUCCUCAUAGAUUGUAGUUGUCUUCUCCAGAAUCUCAAUCUGGGAAGGCAGACCAUUCUAUUCAGGAACCGGCCUGUAAGCACCGCAUGCAGCUGUGAACUGACUGCUCUGGCGGUUUGCUCACGCAGGCAUAGUUGUGGAAAGAAAAAUCAUGGAGAAAGCAGUUCCAUCUUCUACGUUAUCUGAAUUCCAACCUCCAUGCCUAGAAGUGAGAACUUCUAAACAAGGGCCUCACAGAAAAAGACAAAGCUUUAACUGAUUUCAGGUGAAAAUUAUUUUCCCCUAAAAUUCGCCUGAAUUUUGUUUUUUAGGCUGUUUUCAGAAGAGAGAACACUGUAUUGGUUGCAAUAAGCUUCUGUCUAGAAGGAAUGGAUACCCUUUAAAGGAUCUAGAGAGAACAAACCUAUUGUCCUAAGUCAAAAAUCAAGCAUUAACCAGAGCUAAACUUAUGAAAGCCCUCUAGAAACUCACUUAUUUGGUCCAAGAACAUUCUCUCCAACAGCUAAAGUCUAACUCAGAAAAUUAAAGAGUACAUUACCCCUCUAAAGCUCUUUGCUCACAUCCCCUCUAUUCUGGGGCGAGGUGCAGAUUAGUAGGGAGCCAGGCACUGCCUCUCCCCCAGUAAGCAGUGGUGAAAGGCCCAGAGGGCGAGCAGCUAGGUCAGAGAGCAGUGCUAACCAGCCAGCACGCACAUCCACUAAAUCAUGCCCAAACAAACCUUAUACUCUAAAGUUUUGUUUUUCUUCUCCAGUCGUUCUAUUUCCAAUUUCUGUCCUGAGAUAACCUUUUCUUUUUCAUUUAGUUUUCCUUGAAUGUAGUUUUCUUUAUUUACAACAGCACUGUCGAACUCUUGCAACAACGCUUUAAAUGUCAUAGCUGAAACAAAAGCAUGCAGGCCACGUUUACUCCCAAUUCCAAAAUAACCAGUGAAAUCAACUUUUAUUAACCAGUAUGUAGCUAUUCAGCAAAUCAUGACAGCCUGGAGCAGAAAACAAGUCAAGAAGGAAAUCAAGAGUUUGGUUUCUAAAUCUAUGAGAGAUAUUCCUAGAAAAGCUGGUUUUGACUGGAAAACAUAGAGUCUUUCAUUGGGCACUACAGCAUUGCCUUGUCAACCCUUACAGAUUUAAAAAAGAGAGAGAAUACACACCUACUGGUUACUUCUGUUUUACAAGCUGUGGGAAAGUUCCUGGUCAGUCUAAUUUAACAAUGCCUUCAGCACUACAAAGUGCAGAAACAGAUGACCCUUCCUUAAGAUCUGGCCACCAAAGAACUCAAAUUUCUUACAGUUUCUGGAGUUGAAAUGAUCGCAGACCGCUUUUGGCCCUUACAUUGUUUGUGAAACUCAUCAAUCAUCAUCUGCCGUAGGUGAUGUCGCUUCUCUAAUGCCUCAAUCAGCCUGGGAAGAGUCUGCUCAUCGUUGAUAUCCAAAAGUUCACAGGACGGCAGAGGUGGAAAACUCUGUAAAACCACUUCUGUAACCAGUGGUUCUGCGUUGAAUUAUAAAAAAAUAUAUUAUAAAAAACACGAAGUUACACAGGAGAGAAAGCUUAUCUAAACAAGUUGAACACCUGUGAUUAGAACCCGCAGUCCAGUGUGCUUUCUUGAGUUGUCACAAUCAUACUUCCUUAAAAAUGAGUUAUAAAAAAGAAAAAGUGGGGAAAAUCAGUUAUAAUAUGUAACAAAAGAAAACUCA